AUGGCGGGCGAGGCGCUGGGGGACGCCGCCAGCGCGUCGAGCUUCCUGUGCAGCGCCGACGAGCUCCGCUUCGACGCGCCCGCCCGUGCGCUGGCGGCCGAGGAGGCGCUGCAGCCCGUGUGGCUCUACUUCGCGAGCUCCGCUUCGACGCGCCCGCCCGUGCGCUGGCGGCCGAGGAGGCGCUGCAGCCCGGGUGGCUCUACUUCGCGCUGCCCAUGUCCAUGCUCCGCCGGCCGCUCUCCGGGCAGGAGAUGGCCGCCCUCGCCGUCAAGGCCAGCUCCGCGCUCGCCGUCGCCAGCGGUAAGGGGCGGAAGGCGGCUCGGGUGGCGCCUCGCGCGGGAGGAUGGAGUCCCUGACGAAUUUUUGCUCCCGUGUUUUAUUUGA
rnacentral:rRNA from 1 species